AUGCAGAUUGGGCAGCCUGCAGUGAUGAUAGAAAAUCUACAGGAGGCUUUGUUGUUUUCUUUGGUUCUAACCUUAUUUCAUGGAGUGCCAGGAAACAAGCAAGUGUCAAGGGCAAGUACUGAAGCUGAGUACAAAUCAUUAGCAAAUGCUACUGCAGAAAUCAUUUGGCUUGAGUCUUUGCUUGAGGAAUUGGGUGUAAAGCAACAUCGUACUUCGUGUUUAUGGUGUGAUAAUUUGGGUGCUACUUAUUUAAGUGCCAAUCCUGUCUUCCAUGCCAGAACCAAGCACACUGAGAUAGACUUUCAUUUUGUACGAGAAAGAGUUGCAGAGAAGAAGUUGGGGAUACGUUUUAUUCCUUCCAAAGAUCAAGUAGCUGAUGGAUUCACUAAAGCUCUACCGUACAAGCCAUUUAAAGCAUUCAAGAACAAUCUUAAUCUAGGAUAG
rnacentral:rRNA from 1 species